rnacentral:rRNA from 1 species
GACGACGCUGGCGGCGUGGAUUAGGCAUGCAAGUCGAACGGUAUCAUCCUUCGGGGGUGAGAGAGUGGCGAACUGGUGAGUAACACGUAGGUUAUCUACCCUCAAGACGGGGACAACCCAGGGAAACUUGGGCUAAUACCGGAUGUGAGCAACUUUAGUUGUUUGAAAGGUGGCGUAAGCUGUCGCUUGGGGAUGAGCCUGCGUCCUAUUAGUUAGUUGGUGAGGUAACGGCUCACCUAGGCAAUGAUAGGUAGGCGGCCUUAACGGGUGGUCGCCCACACUGGGAUUGAGAUACGGCCCAGACUCCUACGGGAGGCAGCAGUCGAGAAUAGUCUACAAUGGUCGGAAGACUGAUAGUGCGACGCCGCGUGAACGAUGAAUCCCUUCGGGGUGUAAAGUUCUUUUAUAUGUGAGCAGUGCUUCUUAUAUUAACAGUAUGGGGAGAGAGAUAUUAGCAUAUGAAUAAGCAACGGCUAACUCCGUG